rnacentral:lncRNA from 1 species
GAGGUUGUGGUAAGUGCGUCAUGACUAGAGCUAAAAUUUAAACUAAAAUUUCUCAAACAUCGAAAUACUCCUCCUGGUUGCAUUUAUUACAGCAAAGCUUUCGUAAUUCCAUGGUUGGGCAUUUCUUGUGUUACACUGAUUAUUAAGUUUCUGUUUCGCAGCAGUAUGCACGUCCUCUAGGGGUCCAUCCAUGGAGUAGGCGUUUGUCGUUCUUGAUUAGCAGAGCUAGAAAGAUUGACGAAGGGAAUAAUUUCAAUGUCUCCCAUGCUCUUUGACUAUCGCUUUACAACCCAGUUGAAUCAAGCCAUUGUUGGCCCUGUUCCUCUAUUACUCCUUCCGUCUAAGCAACCCAAGUAUUCUUGUGGGGCUUUUUCAUGGCUCUCCUUUGUUAGCUCAGAGAAAUGGGAAUUUGGUUUUUUGGUUUCCGGUCAUCUCCUUGACUGUGGGGAGAGAGCAUGAGAGAGCGAGAGGUUGAGAAAGAGGUAGAUGGUUUGGGGGAAGAGAGAGCGUAAGAGAG